rnacentral:rRNA from 1 species
ACACAGGUGCUGCAUGGCUGUCGUCAGCUCGUGUCGUGAGAUGUGGUUAAGUCCGCAACGAGCGCAACCCUUGCCAUCAGUUGCUACGAAAGGGCACUCUGAUGGGACUGCCGGUGACAAACCGGAGGAAGGUGGGGAUGACGUCAAGUCCUCAUGGCCCUUAUAGGUGGGGCUACACACGUCAUACAAUGGCCGGUACAAAGGGCAGCAAACCCGCGAGGGGGAGCCAAUCCAUCAAAGCCGGUCGUAGUCCGGAUCGCAGUCUGCAACUCGACUGCGUGAAGUCGGAAUCGCUAGUAAUCGUGGAUCAGCAUGUCACGGUGAAUACGUUCCCGGGUCUU